CCUUAUUGUAAAUAAUUUCUGUGUUUUUGGUGCCUCGGCUAAAAUGUUGGUGCACAGUCUAUUAGUGCUCUCCAUAAUAGUUGCUGGAGUGUGUUCUUAUAAAUGUGAACAGUUUGUUCCUGGAUUUGUCCAGUUCCGGGCUAUUAAUAAUGAAAGAGCUGCCCUGGCUCCGUGUCCAGGAGUGAAGGUGACAUGAUGCAAUCCAGAGCAUCACUGCAUUGGAGGAGGAGGCUACAUCCCAGAUGGAGACCCCAGACAGUGUUGAGACGCUACUGCCUGAGAUGGGUAUAGAACACUCGUUGCGGGGAGUAACAGCAAGGAAAUCAUCGAAUCUUCCAUUCUCCUCUUCUAUCGCUAAUAAUUUACACACAAUUGUAAUGCGUAGAAAGGCUUCAUACAAUGUAUGCUGGAAUGUCCUUGUAAGAAAUCAAUAAAACUAAAAUAUUA